rnacentral:tmRNA from 2 species
GGGGAUGUACCGGAUUCGCCAUAUUUAGAGAAAAUUACAUUGCAGUAGUUUGGCAGACUAUAAUGCCCUAGGCUUUCUUAAACGGAAACAAACAAUCACAAGUAGAAGAAGUAACUCAAGAGUUUUCUCCUUCUUUAUACACAUUUAAUUCAAAUCUAGCAUACGCAUAGUUUUUGCAUCUAGUUGUUUUAUUAUUUGCCUUAGUAAUAAAAUAGGUUUAAAGGCUCGCAUUAAGUAAUUAAUUUAGGCUGCUUAAUGUUAAAUAUUUUCCUAAAUAAAAGUUAAUUCACUAUUGCUUAUUAUUUAACUUAAUAAGCUAAACUGUAGACGUGUAAUUGGAUUUAAGUGUGCACAGGGGUUCAACUCCCCUCAUCUCCACCA